UCAUCUUUUUCAUUCUCUUUUUACCAGCCGAAUAUGAAGCUUGAGAAGCCAUGGAAGAAGCUUCCAACUUUCGGCUAAUGCAUGGUAGGCAUUUCUAGUCCCGUUUUUAAUUAUUUUUAUAUUUUCGGGAUCGUUGUUGUUUAAUCUAUCUAAUGAGUGGGCUAUUUUGCAAAACCAUUGAAUAGUUUGAUAUUUGCCAUUGAUGAGUAUAAUAGGGUUUUGAAGUUUAAUGGAAGAAUAUGAGUCCUUGUUGAUAGUUAAACACUUUUUGUUAAGUGAAUUUUUGUGAAAUUGACAAUUAAGGGCUAAAUUGAUAAAUGUGAAAACUUUGUGGUUAAAAUGUUAAAUAAAUGAAAUGUGUGGGCUGCUAGAGACACUAGUGAUAUUCUUCUAUAGUAGAAUUUUACUCAAUUUCAUGAAUUUGCAUUUUUAUGAUAUAGGGACUAAAUUGUAAAGAAGUUGAAAUAUUAAGGGCAAAACUAUAAUUUUUCCAUAAAGUGAAUUAUGGACUGUUUUGAUACCAUGAACAUUUGGCUAAGCUUAAUUAUGGUUAAAAUGGUUAAUUUGCAUGUUUUGAGCUCAGUGACUAAAAUGAAUAAAAGUAAAACUUUAAGGGUAAUUUUGUAAAAAUGACAAAAAUGACCAAAUUGUAUGAAAUGAGGUGUUUUACUGUCUAAAUUAAUAUAUUGAAUGAAAUUGUUAAUUUAGAUCAAGAUCGGGUGAAAAAUCGAGGAAAAUGAGAAAAUUACCAAAAUACCCCUAAACUUUGGUAUCUCUAGAAUUUAGCCAGGUAAGUUCGUAUGCAAUAAGCAUUGUUAAAUUUAUGUUUCUAAUGCUUUGAUAUCGUAUAAAUUGUAUAUACGUGAAUAUUUUAAUGUCUGACGACAUAUCGACAAAAUGUGGUACUUAGUGUGCGGGGCAAUCAAAUAUGGUACUCAGUGUACGAAAUAUUGAGAAUGGCACUUAAUGUGCGAGAUAUUGAGAAUGACACUUAGUGUGCAAAAUAUUGAAUGAUUAAAUAGAGCAAAGUGAACAGGUAUACAUGCUAUAUUAUAUGAAUUGUUUAUGAGACGACUUUAUAAUGGUGUUAUAUCCGGGCUAAGUCCCGAAGGCAUUCGUGUUGGUGUUAUAUUCGGGCUAAGUCCUGAAGGCAUUCGUGCUGGUGUUAUAUCCGGGCUAAGUCCCGAAGGCAUUCGUGCUAGUGUUAUAUCCGGGCGAAGUCCCAAAGGCAUUUGUGCUGGUGUUAGGGCUAAGCCCCGAAGGCAUUCGUGCUGGUGUUAUAUCUGGGCUAAAGUCCCGCAGGCUUUGUGCUGGUAUUAUAUCCGGGCUUAAAGUCCCGCAUGCUUUGUGGUGGUGAUUGAAUUUGGGUUUUAAACCUAGCAGACUUAAUGCCGAUGAUUCGAGUAAGAUUAUGAUUUCGAAUGUUCGUAGUAAACUACCAUUGAAUAUGUUCAAUGCAUUAAGUUGGUCAGGUAUGUAUUAUAUACUCUUAUAUGAUUGAUCGGAAUUGAAUCAUGAAUGCGAAAUGAGAAGUAUAUGUGAAAAUCUCAUAUGUGUAUGUGUGUAUUCGGUUAUGGUGAAAGGUUACAUGAGAUUGAUUUGGUGAUAUACAUGUUAAAUAAUAUGAAUGCAAAGAAUGUGUAAUAAAUCUGCUUGGGACAUCAGCAGUAACGUGAUUUUGGAAAAUCACCAUAAAUUGUGGGAGUUGAGUUAGAGGCUGAAUAAAUUAUGUCAUGAAAUCUUAAUGAGUCUAGUUUCUUAUAAAAGAAACCGUGUAAGCAAAAGAAUUGCCAAUAAUGAGAUAUUUGAAGUGGAAUGGAAUAGAGUCAAAAUGACUUCGAGGCCCCUUGUUAUGUUUUCAGAAAAUCGUUAUAAAUGGUACAAAAAUGGUUAUAAGAUAAAAUUUAUAUUCUUAGACUCCUUAAUGAGUCUAGUUUCAAAUGAAAUAAACGAUAACAUGUUUUGAAUUCUGUAUAAUGAGAAAUUUGAUUCGUAGUGAAGAGUUGUCAGAAUAGUCAAACAGUGAAAUAGGGGAAAACUUCAAGAAAAAUAUGGUAUUGAUUGGUCAAAAAAAAAAUUCUGAAAAUUUGAUGGAUGGAAGAUAUAUGAGUCUAUUUUCAGGUAAAAUUAACGGCACUUGAUUUGGAGUUUCUUAGCUACAGUUAUAAAUAAUUUAGUGACUGUUGCUCGGGAAGACAGCUUGUAGUGAAUUUGUGAUUUUGUUGCAAACAUGGUUAAAACUUGUUAAUGAGAUGCUUUUCGAGUUCUUAUGAUCUUAUUUUUUAUUUCAAUAUUUGGUUUUAAUUCAGUUCAGAUUCAAGUGAGGUGAAUUUGCUACAUAUGCAUUAUGUUCAUGGAUACUUGGCCAAAAUGGAAAUUAUCUAGGAAUGAUUUCUUGAAAAUUUGAAUAAUCGAUCUAUAAGUAAAUUAAUUGUUUGCAUUACUUAAAACUUACUAAGCAUUGAAGCUUACUCCGUGUUCUUUUUUUCCAUUUCUUAUAGGUUUAUACUUUGGCUCGAGUUGGAAGGGCCGGAGAUAUCAUCACACUAUCGAGUCAUUAUGUGAGUAGAGAAGAUUGUAUAUCAUCAUGGUUUAAGGCAUGUAUAGGAUAGACUAUAGGUAGAAUGAUAUUUCGACUUGUAUACAUUAUAGCCAUGCAAAGAUGGCUUGCUCAUUUUGUUUAGAGAAGCCUUAUAAUUGAACUAAUGUGGCGAAAUGUUUUAGUUAUAACUUGAUAGUAUUUAAAUUGUUAUUAGAUAUUCGGUUAUGUUUUGAUAGUGAGACAUUUUGGAAAUUUAUAAGAGCUCCUAUGGAAAAUCAACGAGACAUGUUUACAUUGUUGAUAAUUUAUGUCUGGUA
rnacentral:lncRNA from 1 species